UACGUAGGGACCAAGCGUUGUCCGGAAUCAUUGGCGUAAAGAGCGUGUAGGCGGCUAGGUAGGUCCGUUGUGAAAACUCGAGGCUCAACCUCGAGACGUCGAUGGAAACCAUCUAGCUAGAGUCCGGAAGAGGAGAGUGGAAUUCCUGGUGUAGCGGUGAAAUGCGCAGAUAUCAGGAGGAACACCAAUGGCGAAGGCAGCUCGCUGGGACGGUACUGACGCUGAGACGCGAAAGCGUGGGGAGCAAACAGG
rnacentral:rRNA from 1 species